UGGACCAACAAGACCAAGUCACUUGAUAUAAAUUCUUAAUAACUUUAAGCAGAAUUUGGAUGUCUGCUAAAUGCUAUAGAGAAGACACUAUCUGUUGAAGGGAGCAAAGUGUGGCACUUUAUUGCACUGGGAGUCUGGAUUGCUCAAUUGUGGCAUUGCUUCCUGGAAAUCCGUAGUGGAGAAUCAAGCACAGUGCAGCAGAAGCCGCAUAUGAAUGUGACUGGUCAUGGGUUUGCUGCAAAGCCUUCUUUAAGAGCAGAAAUAUUUAUUCUUUCUUCACCUUGACCCCC